AGGACGAACGCUGGCGGCGUGCUUAACACAUGCAAGUCGAGCGGUAAGGCCCUUCGGGGUACGCGAGCGGCGAACGGGUGAGUAACACGUGGGUGAUCUGCCCUGCACUCUGGGAUAAGCCUGGGAAACUGGGUCUAAUACUGGAUAUGACCUGUCCUCGCAGUGGGGGGUGGGUGGAAAGAUUUAUCGGUGCAGGAUGGGCCCGCGGCCUAUCAGCUUGUUGGUGGGGUAAUGGCCCACCAAGGCGACGACGGGUAGCCGACCUGAGGAGGGUGACCGGCCACACGUGGGACUGAGACACGGCCCAGACUCCGUACGGGAGGCAGCAGUGGGAAUAUUGCACAAUGGGACGAAAGCCUGAUAGCAGCGACGCCGCGUGAGGA
rnacentral:rRNA from 1 species